GCCACACUGUCUUAACAGCAAGAUCUCGUCAGACCUCAGGAGCUAAGCAAGGCCGGGCCUGGUUAGUACUUGGAUAUCAGACCGCUGGGAAUAUCAGGGCACAAUUAAAA
rnacentral:rRNA from 1 species